AUACGGAGGGGACUAGCGUUGUUCGGAAUUACUGGGCGUAAAGCGUACGUAGGCGGAUCGGAAAGUAUAGGGUGAAAUCCCAGGGCUUAACCCUGGAACUGCCUUAUAAACUCCCGGUCUUGAGUUCGAGAGAGGUGAGUGGAAUUCCGAGUGUAGAGGUGAAAUUCGUAGAUAUUCGGAGGGACACCAGUGGCGAAGGCGGCUCACUGGCUCGAUACUGACGCUGAGGUACGAAAGUGUGGGGAGCAAACAGGAUUAGAAACCCUAGUAGUCC
rnacentral:rRNA from 1 species